GACGAACGCUGGCGGCGUGCUUAACACAUGCAAGUCGAACGGUGAAAGGGAGCUUGCUCCCUGGAUCAGUGGCGAACGGGUGAGUAACACGUGGGCAACCUGCCCCAGACUUCGGGAUAACGCUUCGAAAGAGGUGCUCAUACCGGAUACGAACUCCUUGGGCAUCCUUGGAGUUGGAAAGUUUUUCGGUCUGGGAUGGGCCCCCGGCCUAUCAGCUUGUUGGUGAGGUAACGGCGCACAAAGGCGACGACGGGUAGCCGGCCUGAGAGGGCGUCCUGCCACCCUGGGAAUGAGACACGGCCCAGAACCCUACGUGAGGCAGCAGUGGGGAAUAUUGCUCAAUGGGCGAAAGACUGACGCAGCAACGCCGCGUGAGGGAUGACGGCCGUCGGGUUGUAAACCUCUUUCAGCAGGGAAGAAGCGAAAGUGACGGUACCUGCAGAAGAAGCACCGGCUAACUACGUGCCAGCAGCCGCAGUAA
rnacentral:rRNA from 1 species